UACAAUCAAACUUAAACGUCGCGUUUUGUAUUAGGAUUAGUCAUGUCUCCGUCUCGAGUCUCCAGCGUUUCCCCAUCGAUUGCUCUUUCAACUUCUUCAUCCGGUGUGACUGAAGCAGUAACGAUUCCCCCUCAUAAAGCUCUCCUUAAUCAAUCAUACACGAUCUCCAUUCAAUCGUGCUUUCGGAAUCAUUCUUCAAUCGUUCAGAACAUGGCUAACAAUAUGUUCUUCCUCUCCGAUCUCCAGACUGGCCGUUCUUCCUCCUCCGUUCAAGUUCGCCUGCUCCGAUUUUGGGAGGCCAGUAACGUCCGGCGUGGUGGAGAGCUUAUGGGAGUCGACAUGCUCCUUCUUGCUUCUCAGCAUGUGUACAGGCUGGCAUGUUAGCUCUUCUUCGCGAUGCCACAGAGGUGCAAACUUCACCAGCUUAUAAAGGAUCGUAUCAACAAUAGUUUGAUGGCUUAUUGAAUAAGUUAAUACAUUCUUUUUCGACCAUUUUUCCUCAUAACAUGCCUUUAUUAAGUUUGUAGUUCCCAUCACUCCUUACUCUUCAUAUUUCUACUACACUAGCAGCAACUGUUUAUUGAAGAAUUUCAGUGGAAACAUCAAAUGGGAGUCCACAACAUCUUAAUAAACCUCAUGGUUGAGGAACCUGUUUACAUGGCACCACAAGGAGAAAGGAAAAGUAGAGGCUGGCAUGGACAUAGAGAAAUCGACAAGGAAGAUUUUGAGACAAAGCUGAACAUAACAAGCACUACGCUCAACGUCACACAAGAAGUUGUAUUCUUUUGAAGUAGACCUUGAAAAGGCAACAUUUAUGGUGCAGAUCACUUCAGCUUCAGUUAGAAGAAAUUUCGUCACUUUCGUAUGAGCUUUUGCACUGUUGAAACGACCAGACCAAUGCAAGUCUAAAAAUGGAGGAGAUAUUGUAAUGGCUUCUGCAAAAUUAUCAAUGUCGAAAGCAGGUACCGACUUACAGAAGCAACUAGAAGCGUACAAGCAACACAGUGAAAUUUCCAGGUGUUCUCUCCAUGGAAGUAUAGAACAUUUGCGUCAAAAGGUUCGCCCUACAAAGCAAGGAUAACAAUCUUAGAGUUAUUCAUGAUGGUGGUAGAAAUUAUGCAUUGAUUGUGUGCGAACAAGUGAAAUCCAAAUCUGAGAAGAUGGAAAUUUUUCCAAAAUAUGUAGAAACAAAGAUAAUGCUUCUGAAUGAAGCUGCCUGCUGCUGUUCAAUAUAAAAAAAAGAGUGAGCAUCAAGAAUGUUUACUAUGUAAUGAAUACAAACAAAGAUAUGAAUGUUUGUUUAAGAACC